AAAAUUAAUUUUAAAGAUUUAAAGGGAUAAGCUUUUAAAUUUAGGAUUAAAUAAAUUUUUAUUUAGAAAAGAUUUGUAGAGUUAAAAUUAUUUAUUAUUAAAAAUUUUUUAUAAAUUAUCUUUUUAAAGAUAAAAUUUAAAUUUUUAUUAAUUUUUUUAUUAAAUUUUUAAUUUUUUUUAUGUAGAUUAGGUGUUGAUGAUAAAAUUAGUAUAAAUUUAUAUAAAAAUUUAAAGUUAAUUUAAUUUUAAAAAAGGAAUUCGGCAAAUAAAAUUUUUACCUGUUUAUUAAAAACAUCGCUUUUUGAAUAUAAUUUAAAGUAAAGCCUGCCCACUGAUUUAUUAAAGGGCCGCAGUAUAUUGACUGUGCAAAGGUAGCAUAAUCAUUAGUUUUUUAAUUGAAAGCUUGUAUGAAUGGUUUAAUAAAAAAUUAACUGUCUUUUUUAAAUAAUUAAAAAUUUAUUUUUAAGUUAAAAAGCUUAAAUAUUUUAAAAAGACGAGAAGACCCUAUAGAGUUUAAUUUAGGUUUUUUCAAAAAAUUUAGAGGAAUAAAUAAGUUUAGGAAAAAUUUAAAUUUUGUUGGGGUGAUGAAAAAAUUUAUUAAACUUUUUUUUAAAUUUAUACAUUAAUUUAUGAUUAUUUGAUCCUGUUUAAGAUUAAAAGAUUAAAUUACCUUAGGGAUAACAGCGUAAUUUUUUUAAAAGUUCUUAUUGAAAAAAAAGUUUGCGACCUCGAUGUUGGAUUAAAAUUUAAAUUUGGUGUAGAAGCUAAAUUUUUAGGUCUGUUCGACCUUUAAAAUUUUACAUGAUCUGAGUUUAAACCGGUGUAAGCCAGGUUGGUUUCUAUCUUUUAAUAAUUAAAUUAAUUUAGUACGAAAGGACCAAUUAAAGAUUAAAUUAAUUAAGAUGUGAAU
rnacentral:rRNA from 1 species